rnacentral:rRNA from 1 species
GACGAACGCUGGCGGCGUGCUUAACACAUGCAAGUCGAACGGAAAGGCCCUGCUUUUGUGGGGUGCUCGAGUGGCGAACGGGUGAGUAACACGUGAGUAACCUGCCCUUGACUUUGGGAUAACUUCAGGAAACUGGGGCUAAUACCGGAUAGGAGCUCCUGCUGCAUGGUGGGGGUUGGAAAGUUUCGGCGGUUGGGGAUGGACUCGCGGCUUAUCAACUUGUUGGUGGGGUAGUGGCUUACCAAGGCUUUGACGGGUAGCCGGCCUGAGAGGGUGACCGGGCACAUUGGGACUGAGAUACGGCCCAGACUCCUACGGGAGGCAGCAGUGGGGAAUAUUGCACAAUGGGCGGAAGCCUGAUGCAGCAACGCCGCGUGCGGGAUGACGGCCUUCGGGUUGUAAACCGCUUUCGCCUGUGACGAAGCGUGAGUGACGGUAAUGGGUAAAGAAGCACCGGCUAACUACGUG